UAUUUCCUAGGAUGUACGAAGACUCAAGUAUUUUGAACCUACAAAGUUUUAAAGGGAGUUUGCAGCAUUAAAGCAGAUACCGGGCCACAAGCUAAUUCCUAUUUUAUAGGCAGUGGAAGGUAGAAACUUUAAUACAGACACCCACCUGGCAGAGAGCUAGGGUCAAAAUCAAGAGAACGGCAUUUUGGGGAAUAU
rnacentral:other from 2 species